UUAAUACAAUUAGUGCAUGGGUGUGUGUCUACCUGCAUCCGUUGCUUAUAGGUUCAACAUUGAUUUCUAGUUAUCAGGAACAACUUUAUUAACUCAUUUUACAAAAUCAAAUAGACCUCAUAAAUAAAUAAAAGGAAUAUAUGGAUAUUGCUUAUGGCAAAAAGUGUUAUUUAUUUAUUUUGAGACUCCAUUUUUUUUGCUUUUGGAAUAGUUUGUCUGUGUUCUUCCUAUUAUGAAUUUGUGUCUUACAUUGAGAGGUUCUGGGUAGUGGUAUACUAGUAUCUGCUCGGAUCUGUAUGAGUAAUGCCAUUAUAUUUUCAGAAGGUUGGUUUUAUAUUUUUGUUCUAUUGAUAAAAGUUUAAAAGACACCUUUAUGUGCAAUGCUGUCCUUUAUAUGAUAACCUAAAUGGCUAUCAUUAAUAAAAAAGUUCUCUCAAUAAAUACCUUAUACAUCUUCAGAACUUUUUCUUUUUAUGCUAAUGAGUCAUCUCGUUGACUGAUUCACUAGUUUUGUUAAUAUGUAAAAUGUUAUCAUAUGCUCCUUGUGUUGCUUCGUUCCUAUUUUAUGUUAUAUUUACAACAUCUGAGAUUGGUGCUUUGGUUCCCUAUGACAGGGCAGAUAAAUAAGUCUGAUUUCUGAUUUGCCAUUUUUGGUGCUUUGUAGAAUGGUAAGACUGUCCUUGCAAAGUCUGUUGGUGUGAUUGAUGCAACUGCAGAUACUGUUUUUGAAGUUAUUUUGAACACUGACCAACAGAAAAGAUAUGAGUGGGAUACAUUGAUAUGCGACUUGGAACUUGUAGAUUCUUAUGAUGGACACUACGAUGUUGUUUAUGGGACAUAUGAUUCUAAG